AACGAACGCUGGCGGCAUGCCUAACACAUGCAAGUCGAACGAGACCUUCGGGUCUAGUGGCGCACGGGUGCGUAACGCGUGGGAAUCUGCCCUUCGGUUGGGAAUAACUGAGAGAAAUUUCAGCUAAUACCUUAUAAUGUCUUCGGACCAAAGAUUUAUCGCCGAGGGAUGAGCCCGCGUAGGAUUAGGUAGUUGGUGGGGUAAUGGCCUACCAAGCCGACGAUCCUUAGCUUGUCUGAGAGGAUGAUCAGCCACACUGGGACUGAGACACGGCCCAGACUCCUACGGGAGGCAGCAGUGGGGAAUAUUGGACAAUGGGCGAAAGCCUGAUCCAGCUAUGCCGCGUGAGUGAUGAAGGCCUUAGGGUUGUAAAGCUCUUUUACCCGGGAUGAUAAUGACAGUACCGGGAGAAUAAGCUCCGGCUAACUCCGUG
rnacentral:rRNA from 1 species